CAUAUCAAUAAGCGGAGGAAAAGAAACCAACAGGGAUUGCCCUAGUAACGGCGAGUGAAGCGGCAACAGCUCAAAUUUGAAAUCUGGCUCUCGGGCCCGAGUUGUAAUUUGUAGAGGAUACUUUUGAUGCGGUGCCUUCCGAGUUCCCUGGAACGGGACGCCAUAGAGGGUGAGAGCCCCGUCUGGUUGGAUGCCAAAUCUCUGUAAAGUUCCUUCAACGAGUCGAGUAGUUUGGGAAUGCUGCUCUAAAUGGGAGGUAUAUGUCUUCUAAAGCUAAAUACCGGCCAGAGACCGAUAGCGCACAAGUAGAGUGAUCGAAAGAUGAAAAGCACUUUGAAAAGAGAGUUAAAAAGUACGUGAAAUUGUUGAAAGGGAAGCGUUUAUGACCAGACUUGGGCUUGGUUAAUCAUCUGGGGUUCUCCCCAGUGCACUUUUCCAGUCCAGGCCAGCAUCAGUUUUCCCCGGGGGAUAAAGGCGGCGGGAAUGUGGCUCUCUUCGGGGAGUGUUAUAGCCCACCGUGUAAUACCCUGGGGGGGACUGAGGUUCGCGCAUCUGCAAGGAUGCUGGCGUAAUGGUCAUCAACGACCCCCGUUC
rnacentral:rRNA from 1 species